AAACUUUCAACAACGGAUCUCUUGGCUCUGGCAUCGAUGAAGAACGCAGCGAAAUGCGAUAAGUAAUGUGAAUUGCAGAAUCCAGUGAAUCAUCGAAUCUUUGAACGCACAUUGCGCCCGCCAGCAUUCUGGCGGGCAUGCCUGUUCGAGCGUCAUUUCA
rnacentral:rRNA from 3 species